GACGAACGCUGGCGGCGUGCUUAACACAUGCAAGUCGAACGGAAAGGCCCUGCUUUUGUGGGGUGCUCGAGUGGCGAACGGGUGAGUAACACGUGAGUAACCUGCCCUUGACUUUGGGAUAACUUCAGGAAACUGGGGCUAAUACCGGAUAGGAGCUCCUGCUGCAUGGUGGGGGUUGGAAAGUUUCGGCGGUUGGGGAUGGACUCGCGGCUUAUCAGCUUGUUGGUGGGGUAGUGGCUUACCAAGGCUUUGACGGGUAGUCGGCCUGAGAGGGUGACCGGCGACAUUGGGACUGAGAUACGGCCCAGACUCCUACGGGAGGCAAAAGUGGGGAAUAUUACACUGUGGGCGGAAGCCUGAUGCAGCAACGCCGCGUGCGGGAUAACGGCCUUCGGGUUGUAAACCGCUUUCGCCUGUGACGAAGCGUGAGUGACGGUAAUGGGUAAAGAAGCACCGGCUAACUACGUG
rnacentral:rRNA from 1 species